CGGGGSGGGCCUAUAMAUGCAAGUCGAGCGAAUGGAUUAAGAGCUUGCUCUUAUGAAGUUAGCGGCGGACGGGUGAGUAACACGUGGGUAACCUGCCCAUAAGACUGGGAUAACUCCGGGAAACCGGGGCUAAUACCGGAUAACAUUUUGAACCGCAUGGUUCGAAAUUGAAAGGCGGCUUCGGCUGUCACUUAUGGAUGGACCCGCGUCGCAUUAGCUAGUUGGUGAGGUAACGGCUCACCAAGGCAACGAUGCGUAGCCGACCUGAGAGGGUGAUCGGCCACACUGGGACUGAGACACGGCCCAGACUCCUACGGGAGGCAGCAGUAGGGAAUCUUCCGCAAUGGACGAAAGUCUGACGGAGCAACGCCGCGUGAGUGAUGAAGGCUUUCGGGUCGUAAAACUCUGUUGUUAGGGAAGAACAAGUGCUAGUUGAAUAAGCUGGCACCUUGACGGUACCUAACCAGAAAGCCACGGCUAACUACGUGCCAGCAGCCGCGGUAAUACGUAGGUGGCAAGCGUUAUCCGGAAUUAUUGGGCGUAAAGCGCGCGCAGGUGGUUUCUUAAGUCUGAUGUGAAAGCCCACGGCUCAACCGUGGAGGGUCAUUGGAAACUGGGAGACUUGAGUGCAGAAGAGGAAAGUGGAAUUCCAUGUGUAGCGGUGAAAUGCGUAGAGAUAUGGAGGAACACCAGUGGCGAAGGCGACUUUCUGGUCUKGUAACUGACACUGAAGCGCGAAAGCGUGGGGAGCAAACAGGAUUAGAUUACCCUKGGUUAGUCCACCGCCGUAAACGAUGRAUGGCUWAAGUGUUARAGGGUUCCGCUCUUUCARUGCUGGAGGUAACGCAAUUAASUMAYUCCSMCCUGGGAAGUWMSGGCUCSCSMAAGGC
rnacentral:rRNA from 1 species